CCUGACUGCUAUCGGAUUGAUACUAAGCCAUGCGAGUCGUUGUASCAAUACAAGGCAKACGGCUCAGUAACACGUAGUCAACCUACCCUAUGGUCGGGGAUAAUCUCGGGAAACUGAGCAUAAUACCCGAUAGGUCAUAAUGCCUGGAAUGGUUUAUGGCCCAAAUGAUUUAUCGCCAUAGGAUGGGACUGCGGUCUAUCAGCUUGUUGGUGAGGUAAUGGCCCACCAAGGCAAUAACAGAUACGGGCUCUGAGAGGAGAAGCCCGGAGAUGGGUACUGAGACACGGACCCAGGCCCUAUGGGGCGCAGCAGGCGAGAAAACUUUGCAAUGUGCGAAAGCACGACAAGGUUAAUCCGAGUGUUUCCUGCUAAAGGAAUCUUUUGUCGAUCCUAWAAACACCGAUGAAUAAGGGGUGGGCAAGUUCUGGUGUCAGCCGCCGCGGUAAAACCAGCACCUCAAGUGGUCAGGAGGAUUAUUGGGCCUAAAGCAUCCGUAGCCGGCUGUGCUAGUCUCCGGUUAAAUCCAUAUGCUUAACAUAUGGGCUGCCGGAGAUACUGCACAGCUAGGGAGUGGGAGAGGUAGACGGYACUUGGUASGAAGGGSUAAAAUCCUUUAAUCUACUGAUGACCACCUGUGGCGAAGGCGGUCUACUAKAACACGUCCGACGGUGAGGGAUGAAAGCUGGGGGAGCAAACCGGAUUAGAUACCCGGGUAGUCCCAGCUGUAACAAUGCAAACUCWGYGAUGCGCUGGCUUGUGGCCAGCGYAGUGCCGCAGKGAAGCCGUUAAGYUUGCCGCCUGGGAAGUACKUACKCAAGUWUGAAACUUMRAGGGACUGGCGGKGGGAGCACCACAAGGGGUGAAKCCUGCGAUC
rnacentral:rRNA from 1 species